GACAGAGGUGCCGAGCGUUAGGCGGAAUCACUGGGCUUAAAGCGUGUGUAGGCGGAUCGUUAAGUACCUUGUGAAAUCCCACGGCUUAACCGUGGAACUGCUGGGUAUACUGGCGAUCUUGAGCCACCUAGGGGCAACCGGAACAAAUGGUGGAGCGGUGAAAUGCGUAGAUAUCGCUUGGAACGCCGAAGGUGAAAACAGGUUGCUGGGGAUGUGCCGACGCUGAGACACGAAAGCCAGGGGAGCAAACGGG
rnacentral:rRNA from 1 species